GAUGAACGCUGGCGGCGUGCCUAAUACAUGCAAGUCGAGCGAACAGACGAGGAGCUUGCUCCUCUGACGUUAGCGGCGGACGGGUGAGUAACACGUGGAUAACCUACCUAUAAGACUGGGAUAACUUCGGGAAACCGGAGCUAAUACCGGAUAAUAUAUUGAACCGCAUGGUUCAAUAGUGAAAGACGGUUUUGCUGUCACUUAUAGAUGGAUCCGCGCCGCAUUAGCUAGUUGGUAAGGUAACGGCUUACCAAGGCGACGAUGCGUAGCCGACCUGAGAGGGUGAUCGGCCACACUGGAACUGAGACACGGUCCAGACUCCGACGGGAGGCAGCAGUAGGGAAUCUUCCGCAAAGGGCGAAAGCCUGACGGAGCAACGCCGCGUGAGUGAUGAAGGUCUUCGGAUCGUAAAACUCUGUUAUUAGGGAAGAACAAAUGUGUAAGUAACUAUGCACGUCUUGACGGUACCUAAUCAGAAAGCCACGGCUAACUACGUG
rnacentral:rRNA from 1 species